UAGGGAAUCAUCCGCAAUGGGCGAAAGCCUGACGGUGCAACGCCGCGUGAACGAUGAAGGUCUUCGGAUUGUAAAGUUCUGUUGUUAGGGAAGAACAAGUGCCGUUCGAAUAGGUCGGCACCUUGACGGUACCUAACCAGAAAGCCCCGGCUAACUACGUGCCAGCAGCCGCGGUAAUACGUAGGGGGCAAGCGUUGUCCGGAAUUAUUGGGCGUAAAGCGCGCGCAGGCGGUCUCUUAAGUCUGAUGUGAAAGCCCACGGCUCAACCGUGGAGGGUCAUUGGAAACUGGGGGACUUGAGUGUAGGAGAGGAAAGUGGAAUUCCACGUGUAGCGGUGAAAUGCGUAGAUAUGUGGAGGAACACCAGUGGCGAAGGCGACUUUCUGGCCUACAACUGACGCUGAGGCGCGAAAGCGUGGGGAGCAAACAGGAUUAGAUACCCCCGUAGUCC
rnacentral:rRNA from 1 species